rnacentral:rRNA from 1 species
AGAGCGCAAGGGGAAUGCCUUGGCAUCAGGAGCCGACGAAGGACGUGACAAGCUGCGAUAAGCCACGGGGAGGAGCAAAUAUCCGAUAUAUCCGUGGAUUUCCGAAUGGGGGAACCCGCUCAAGCAAUACUUGAGCAUCGUGCGUUGAAUCAAAUAGGCGUACGAAGGGAACGGCCUGAACUGAAACAUCUAAGUAGGGCCAGGAAAAGACAUCAACCGAGAUUCCGCUAGUAGUGGCGAGCGAACGCGGAGGAGGCCAAACCGAGGGACGCAAGUUCUUCGGGGUUGCGGACAGACAUCAAGACCAGAGGUAAUUAAGAGAACGGCGUGGGAAAGCCGGCCAUAGAAGGUGAGAGCCCUGUAUCUGAAAAUGAAGACUGGCAGUCUGGAUCCAGAGUACCGCGGGACACGUGAAACCCCGUGGGAAACCGGGUGGACCACCAUCCAAGCCUAAAUACUACCUGAUGACCGAUAGAGGAGCAGUACCGUGAGGGAAAGGUGAAAAGGACCCCGGGAGGGGAGUGAAAGAGAACCUGAAACCUUGUGCUUACAAGCAGUCAAAGCACGUUAACGUGUGAUGACGUACUUUUUGUAGAACGGUCCGGCGAGUUAUAGUAACGAGCAAGCUUAAGGUAUUCAGUACCGGAGGCGCAGCGAAAGCGAGUCUGAAAAGGGCGCAUGAAGUUCGUUGCCAUAGACCCGAAACCGGGUGACCUACGCAUGAGCAGGUUGAAGUGGGGGUGAAACCCCAUGGAGGACCGAACCGACCCCCGUUGCAAUGGUGGCGGAUGACUUGUGUGUAGCGGUGAAAUUCCAAUCGAACUCGGAGAUAGCUGGUUCUCCCCGAAAUAGCUUUAGGGCUAGCCUCAUAUUAGAUACCCGGAGGUAAAGCACUGAAUGGCCUAGCGCCCGAGAGGGUAGCGAAGCCUAUCAAACUAAGAAUGCCGGAGUAUUGAUGUAUGGGAGUCAGACAGUGUGAGAUAAAUCUCAUUGUCAAAAGGGAAACAGCCCAGAUCUACAGCUAAGGUCCCAAAUUGUAUCUAAGUGGAAAACGAUGUGGAAAUACGCAGACAACCAGGAUGUUGGCUCAGAAGCAGCCACUCAUUUAAAGAGUGCGUAAUAGCUCACUGGUCGAGCGUCUCUGCGCGGAAAAUUUAACGGGGCUAAGAUACAAACCGAAGCUUAGGCUGCAUCGUAAGAUGCGGGGUAGGGGAGCGUUGUGUAAGCGGAGAAACAGUAGCGUAAGCGGCUGUGGAGUUUACAGAAGUGAGAAUGCCGGAAUGAGUAGCGCGAAUGUGGUGAGAAUCCACAUGGCCGGAAACCUCAGGUUUUUGGAGGAAGGUUCGUCCGCUCCAAGUUAGGCGGGAGCUAAGGUCAGGCCGAAAGGCGUAGCCGAUGCACAGACGGUAGAGAUUCCGUCCCCACCGAAAGAUUUAAGCACAGGGACACUUUUUGAAGGUCGGAGCCAGGUGUUGGUUCUGGUAGUGAUCGAGGGAAAUAUAGUACCGAAGUCCGGCUGGAGAAGAGGCGAGAAAAGCUGUGUGUAUAUCUAAGGUGCCCGUACCGCAAACCGACACAGGUAGGUAGGAAGAAGAUUCUAAGGCCAACGGGAGAAGGGUUGUUAAGGAACUCGGCAAAUUGACCCCGUAACUUCGGGAGAAGGGGUGCUCCAGAGAUGGAGCCGCAGAGAAUCGGCCCAAGCAACUGUUUACCAAAAACACAGGUUUGUGCUAAAUCGAAAGAUGACGUAUACGAGCUGACGCCUGCCCGGUGCUGGAAGGUUAAGAGGAGAUGUGCAAGCAUUGAAUCGAAGCCCCAGUGAACGGCGGCCGUAACUAUAACGGUCCUAAGGUAGCGAAAUUCCUUGUCAGGUAAGUUCUGACCCGCAUGAAAGGCGUAAUGAUUUGGGCACUGUCUCAACAGCCCGCCCGGCGAAAUUGUAGUACCGGUGAAGAUGCCGGUUACCCGCGACAAGACGGAAAGACCCCAUGGAGCUUUACUGUAGCCUAAUAUUGGGUUUCGAUGUUGCAUGCACAGGAUAGAUGGGACACAGGGAAACAAUCGCUUUGGCGGUUGCGGAGUGGCCGUUGGGAUACCAUCCUUGCGAUAUUGGAAUUCUAACCUGCGGCUCUGAAUCGAGUCGGGGGACAUUGUUAG